GUUGGCUAUGGAGAUAUGGUGCCCACAACCAUCGGCGGAAAGAUUGUCGGAUCACUCUGUGCCAUCGCUGGCGUCUUGACCAUCGCCCUUCCAGUGCCCGUCAUUGUCUCAAAC
rfam:Danio rerio chromosome 6, GRCz11 reference primary assembly.